GUACGACCUCGGAUCAGGUAGGAGCACCCGCUGAACUUAAGCAUAUCAAUAAGCGGAGGA
rnacentral:rRNA from 1 species